rnacentral:rRNA from 1 species
AUCGAACGCUGGCGGCAGGCCUAACACAUGCAAGUCGAACGAGUGGCGGACGGGUGAGUAAUGUCUGGGAAACUGCCUGAUGGAGGGGGAUAACUACUGGAAACGGUAGCUAAUACCGCAUACCAUCGGAUGAGGCCAGAUGGGAUUAGCUAGUGGGUGGGGUAAAGGCUCACCGAGGCGACGAUCCCUAGCUGGUCUGAGAGGAUGACCGGCCACACUGGAACUGGGACACGGUCCAGAGUCCUACGGGAGGCAGCAGUGGGGAAUAUUGGACAAGGGGGGCAAGCCUGAUGCAGCCAUGCCGCGGGUAUAAAGAAGGCCUUCGGGUUGUAAAGUACUUUCAGCGGGAAGGCGGUACCCGCAUAGGAAGCACCGGCUAACUCCGUGCCAGCAGCCGCGGUAAUUC